rnacentral:rRNA from 1 species
CGUUAGCGGCGGACGGGUGAGUAACACUGGGUAACCUACCUAUAAGACUGGGACAACUUCGGGAAACCGGAGCUAAUACCGGAUAAGAUAUCGAACCGCAUGGUUCGAUAGUGAAAGANGGUUUUGCUAUCACUUAUAGAUGGACCCGCGCCGUAUUAGCUAGUUGGUGAGGUAACGGCUCACCAAGGCAACGAUACGUAGCCGACCUGAGAGGGUGAUCGGCCACACUGGAACUGAGACACGGUCCAGACUCCUACGGGAGGCAGCAGGG